rnacentral:rRNA from 2 species
GCUCAUCACAUCCUGGGGCUGAAGUAGGUCCCAAGGGUAUGGCUGUUCGCCAUUUAAAGUGGUACGCGAGCUGGGUUUAGAACGUCGUGAGACAGUUCGGUCCCUAUCUGCCGUGGGCGCUGGAGAACUGAGGGGGGCUGCUCCUAGUACGAGAGGACCGGAGUGGACGCAUCACUGGUGUUCGGGUUGUCAUGCCAAUGGCACUGCCCGGUAGCUAAAUGCGGAAGAGAUAAGUGCUGAAAGCAUCUAAGCACGAAACUUGCCCCGAGAUGAGUUCUCCCUGACUCCUUGAGAGUCCUGAAGGAACGUUGAAGACGACGACGUUGAUAGGCCGGGUGUGUAAGCGCAGCGAUGCGUUGAGCUAACCGGUACUAAUGAACCGUGAGGCUUAACCUUACAACGCCGAAG